CUUGUAUCGUGAAUCCUGAACAAAUUCCACUAUAGUGUGUGUUCGUGUCCACCGGUAUAAGUUGUGUCUCACAUUUGGUAUUCAGAGUUGAUCGAUUCUGGAUCCAACGCACUCUCAUCUCACUCGCUUCCAAGUUCAUGUCGGAGCCAUGGUGGUACCGACGGAUUCCAUGGCAACGGUGUCGGCGAAGCUGGAGGAGUUGGGAAAAAAAGGUGGAUGAGACCAAUCGCAAGAUCGAGGAGAUGCAGCAGUCCAUUGAUCUUCUUACUCAAGAGCAAGGUGCAGUGAAGGAAUGGAAACCUAAGUUGGAGAACAAGGUCACGGAGUUGCAGAAUUCUAUGUACGAUCUCAAGCAGAAGGUAGAUCUGUUCGUCCACGAGCUCCCAAGAAGAAGCCAGAUGAAGGGAUCAAGGUUGAGGCGCCUUCCCCCACCCAUCUAGGGGUGAUUGGAGAUGCAGAGGCGUCUGGGCAAUACUACCACCGCGUCGAAACUCAGCACCGGAGUGUUGGUGCUGGGGUUGUCACAACCCUGGUGCCACCUCCGGUCAAAGGUGCAAAUCGAGACCUCAAUGUUACACAUGUUCCUUUUCAUGGGUUUGAUUCUGUUGGAUGUGUUAGUUAUCUUCCUGCUCCUAGCUUUAGUCAUGGCAUACCCCAGCUUGAAUUUCCUCGGUUUGGUGGAACUAAUCCCAAGAUCUGGAUUAGGAGGUGUGAGAAUUUUUUUGAUGUCUAUGAAACUCCUAAAUCUCAUUGGGUUAAGUUAGCUACCAUGAAUUUGGGGGCUCUGCUGAUUUUUGGAUGCAAUCCAUAGAAAUAGAUCUUAAGAAGUGUACUUGGGAGAAUCUCUGCCAAGUUGUGUUAGGAAGGUUUGAGAGGGAUCAGCACAACCAUGUUAUUAGGCAAUUAUUUCAUAUCAAACAGUCAGGGUCAGUAGCAGAAUACAUAGAGCUUUUUGAUAAGCUUGUUCACCAACUGCUGGCUCAUGACCCUUAUUUCAAUCCCUCUGUUGUUACUAGUAAAUUUGUAGAUGGUUUAAAGAUUGAAAUUAAGGCAAUAGUACUUGUUCAUAGGCCAAAAGAUUUGGAUAUUGCUAGCUCUUUGGCAAUUUUGCAGGAGGAAGUGCUAGAGGGAGGUCCUAGCAAAUAAAGAAGGAGAAUAGAAGUACCCAAUUCUAUCAAGUCAGUGCAGAGGACUGGCAGUGUGUCUUCUGUAGCAAGGCAAAAUGAACAAUUUCCAACUGAAGAUAGGAGAUCUCCUAACCAUUAGGUGAUAGAGUGUCAGCUCUGAUGGCUUAUAGGAAGGCCAAGGGACUCUACUACAAGUGUGGAGCAAAAUAGGAUCCUCAGCAUACUUGUCCUGAGAAUGUUCCCCUCCAUAUUGUAGAAGAGUUUUGGCAAAUGAUUGCAAAGAAGGAGGAACCUGUACAUCAAUCCUUGGGUGAAUCUGAUUCUGAUUCAUGAGAAGAUUUAAUGGCAAUUUUUGCACAAGCUGUAAAUGAAACUUAUUCUGGGAAGACAAUGAAGCUCCAAUGCUUUAUUCAACAAUAUAAGACUGUUGUAUUGGUGGACUCUAGCAACUCUCAUAAUUUCAUUAGUGAGCAGUUUGCUGCACUUUUACCAAACUGGAGACCACUGAAGAAACCUAUUGAUGUCAACAUGGCAGAUGGAGGUAUUCUGCAAUGUACACAUAAAGUGGUGAAUUGCAAUUGGCUUGUUCAAGGGAUUCAAUUCUUGACAACUUUUAAGAUACUUCCCUUGAAAUGCUAUGAUGCUAUAUUGGGGAUGGAUUGGCUGGAAACUUUUAGUCCUAUGAAGGUACAUUAGGCUCAAAAAUGGCUGUCUUUCCACUACAAGGAGAAGAAAGUCAGGAUACAGGGAACACAAGAUAACACACCUUGUCUUUAUAUCACUGGAGAUCAGUUAUUUGCUAUACAAAAGCAAGAUGAUAUUUGGUGUGUUCUGCAAGUAAUUCUGUUGAACAACAUCCUAGCAAUGAAGGCAAGAGUUAGUGGACAACUAUGUAGAACUCUUUGCUGAACCAAAAGGACUGCCUCCAAAUAGAAAUAUUACUCAUUCAAUUCCCUUGCUGCCUGGAGCCCAACCUUUCAAAUUGAGGCCAUAUAGAUAUACCCCAGCUCAGAAAGAUGAAAUAGAGCAACAAGUGGCCAAGCUUUUACAAGAUCACAUGAUUCAGGCCAGUAUAAGUCCUUUUGCCUCCCUGUAUUGCUAGUCAAAAAGAAAAUAGGAGAAUGGAGGUUGUGUGUAGAUUUCAGAAGGUUGAAUGCCUACACUAUCAAGAACAAAUUUCCACUACCAAUCAUUGAAGAGUUGUUUGAGGAGUUGUAUGGAGCAAAAUGGUUUACAACCUUGGACCUUAGGUCUGAUUUUCAUCAGAUAUUGGUUAAUGAAGAAGAUCAGUACAAAACUAUUUUUCAAACACAUUUCGGCCAUUUUGAGUAUAAGCUUAUGCCAUAUGGGUUAACAGGAGCACCAUCUACAUUCCAAGCUAUUAUGAACCACAUAUUGGCACCUCUGCUCAGGAAGUGUGUGGUAGUCUUCAUUGAUGAUAUACUUAUAUACAGUAAGAGCUAUGAAGAGCACGUGCAACAUGUAAGAUGGUCUUUGACUUGUUGAAAGAACAUCAAUUUAAAGUCAGGUUGUCUAAAUGUAGUUUUGCCCAACAACAGCUCAAAUAUCUGGACCACAUUAUAAGUGCUGAAGGUGUGGAAACAAAUCCUGGAAAAGUCAGUGAUGUCCAGAAUUGGCCCGUUCCAACUUCAGUGAAGGAAUUGAGGGGGUUCCUUGGCUUGGCUGCGUAUUAUAGAAGAUUUGUCAAAAAUUUUGGCAUGUUAGCUAAACCUCUAACAGAACUGUUGAAGAAAGAGAAAAUAUUUGUGUGGAUAUCUAUAGCUGAACAGGACUUUCAAACUUUGAAAUCUGCACUCACUUCAUCUCCAGUCUUAGCUCUUCCUGAUUUUAACAAGACUUUUGUGGUGGAAACUGAUGCAUCAGACAAAGGAAUUGGAGCAGUAUUGCAGCAAAGAGGGCAUCCAAUAGCUUAUGUUAGCAUAGCACUGGGUCCCAAAAGCCAAGGCCUUUCUACUUAUGAAAAAGAGAGUUUGGCAAUCUUGGUGGCUAUAGAUCACCGAAGGAGCUAUUUACAACCUGCUAAAUUCAUCAUUCAGACUGAUCAGAAAAGCUUAAUUCACCUGGAUGACCACUGCUGAAUUCAUCAUUCAGACUAAUCAGAAAAGCUUAAUUCACCUGGAUGACCAGAGGCUAAAUUCCUAAUGGCAGCAGAAGGCUUUAAACAAGUUGCUCGGUCUACAAUACAAGAUCUCCUACAAGAAGGGCUCCACAAACAAUGCUGCUGAUGCACUGUCCAGAGUUACACAUGAUGAAACUUCAAAAGUCUUGGCUUUAUCAAAGGCACAACCAGUUUGGUUGGAUGACUUGCAGUCUAGUUAUGCUGAUAAUGAACAAGCUCAAAAGCUAUUAACACAACUUUUACUCAAUCCUGAUCAAGGCAAGUACAAACUAUCACAAGGCAUUAUCAAGUACAAGAACAGGAUAUGGUUGGGUCAUAGCCUAGAAAUACAACAAGUUAUGAAGGUUCUGCAUUCAAGUCCAAUGGGUGGUCAUUCAGAAAUCUUGGUCACAUAUAUAAGGAUCAAAAGAUUCUUCUAUUGGCCUCAAAUGAAGGACCACAUACAUGAGUGGGUUGAGUCUUAUUCUGUUUGUCAACGAGCAAAAGUCGAAAGGGUGCCUUAUCCAGGUCUUCUUCAACCUUUGGAAGUACCUGAUCAUGCUUGGCAAGUAGUGACUCUAGACUUCAUUGAAGGCUUGCCAACUUCAUCUAAUUACAACUGCAUACUGGUAGUAGUUGACAAGUUCUCAAAAUACUCUCACUUCAUAAGUUAGUCCACCCUUUUACUACUCUCAAAGUGGCUAAAGCAUAUACGGAUGAUGUCUAUAAACUACAUGGCAUGCCACAAGCCAUGGUGUCUAACAGAGAUAAAAUAUUUACUAGUCAACUUUGGCAAGAAUUAUUUAAGUUGUCUAAAACUGAACUCAGAAUGAGUUCUGCAUAUCAUCCUCAAAGUGAUGGGCAAACUGAGAGGGUAAAUCAAAGUGUGGAAGCUUAUCUCCAUUAUUUUGUACAUUCUUGUCCUUCCAAAUGGUCACAGUGGUUAUCAUUGGCUGAAUUCUGGUACAACAUCAAUUUCCACUCAGCUUUGAACAAAUCACCAUUUGAAGUGUUGUAUGGGCAUGCUCCUAGAUACUUUGGAAUAGAAGGAAUAGAAGGAGUGGAACAUUGUGCUAUACCAGACUUGGAGGGCUGGCUAAAGGAAAUACAAACAAUGACAGAACUAUUACAGCAACAGUUGUUGAGAGCACAACAGCGGAUGAAACGUCAAGCGGACAAGCACAGAACUGAAAGAUCCUUUGCUGUUGGAGAGAAGGUUUGGCUUAAGUUACAACCUUAUGUUCAGACUUCUGUUGGCUCACGAGCUAGUCAUAAGCUCUCGUUCAAAUAUUUUGGUCCUUAUCUGAUUGAGAACAAGAUUGGAUUGGUUGCUUACAAGUUGAAGUUGCCUUCUGGAAGCAAAAUUCACCCUGUGUUCCAUGUUUCACUCCUUAAGAAGGUCAAAGGUAACAUACCCACUGGCAGCCCGUCUCUACCUCCAGAUGAUGUAUCUAUGCAGGUACCAAAAAUGAUGCUCGACUGGUGUCUCAGGAACAUUGGAAGAAGAGCUAUCUAGCAGGGUCUGGUCAAGUGGCACGAUUGGCCCGCGGAACUGGCAACUUGGGAAGAAGAAGAUCACAUCUUACCUCAGCUGGAAUCUGCAAUGGCUCGCAGACAAGCCGUUAUUCAAGAAGAGGGGGAUGUCACGAACAAGAAUGUGACACCGAAUUCUGUGAAGGAGGAAGGGGAAGAAAGCAGGAUCAAGGCUGCGGAAACAACUCAAGGAACUGGGCGUCCUCAACGAGAUCCGAAGCCCAACAAGUACUUGGCUAGGCCGUAUUGGCUAAAGUAGUUUAGGCCCAUGAACGGGAGUCGUUGUGACCAUUCUAGCACGACGUGUAAUGGUUAAAGGAGGACGCGUGCACCAGAGAAGAACUGAUUAGGAUCACGUCGGUUGUGGCGGCGGUGGCGAGCUUAUGCUCGAGACUCUGGCGAGAUUCUUAUCCUUGUAUGGUGAAUCCUGAACAAAUUCCACUAUAGUAUGUGUUCGUAUCCACCGGUAUAA
rnacentral:lncRNA from 1 species